rnacentral:rRNA from 1 species
GCUGUACGAUCGUCGUCAUGCCCAAGCAUCGUGAAUGUACUCGGUCUCGUAGAUGUCAGACGUCAAGUGCGUUCGGGCCUGGUUAGUACUCGGAUAGCAAACUGCCUGUGAAUACCAAGUAUUGUUAGCU